ACACUGGGUCAUCUCCUGUGACUUCCCCUCUAUCUGGAUUGGGGGAAGGCAGGAAAAACCCUGACCCUCUCCCACAGAGCCUCAGCCAGUGAUACUGCUUCCCGGAUGAGAAGGACGGCCCCGAAGCCCACAGGCAAGCCAGGCCCACGGCCACGGUCCCUCCAGUCUCCUCGCAGCUCCCCAGCAGCCCAGACGACCCUGCGGGGACCAGAAGCACUCCGGGCAGAAAGGCAGACCCAGAAUCGCUUCCCAAAGCCUCCCGGCCCCUGUGGCCCAGGGACUUGAGACGCCAGCCAGGCGGCUUUCGGGGUGUGUCUGCCCGAUGCCCGCCCGGGAGGACGCGGGGCCUGCGCCCCCGGGGGCCGUCACCUCGGCGCCCGCCGGCGACCCUGGGGAGAUCCGCAACUGGGACGAGCUGCUCUACUUCUUCAACCACACCCUGCCCGAGUGCCACGUGGAGCUCAGGGAGGACGCGAAGCAAGUGACGCUGUUCGUGCUGUACCUGGCCAUCUUCGUGGUGGGGCUGCUGGAGAACGUGGUGGUGAUCGGCGUCAGCUGGCGGCGCGCGGGCCGGGGCCUGCUCAGCCUGUACGCGCUGCACAUGGCCGUGGCGGACCUGGGCAUCGUGCUGUCCCUGCCCGUGUGGAUGCUGGAGGUCGCGCUGGACUACACCUGGCUCUGGGGCGGCUUCUCCUGCCGCUUCACGCACUACUUCUACUUCGCCAACAUGUACAGCAGCAUCUUCUUCCUGCUGUGCCUGAGCGUCGACCGCUACGUCAGCCUGGCGGCCCCCGGCCCGCAGCCCCAGCAGCAGCGGCUGCGCCGGGCCGUGUGCGCGGGGGUCUGGCUGCUGGCGGCCGUGCUCCCGCUGCCCGAGGUGGCGCACAUGCAGCUGCUGGACGGCGCGGAGCCCGUGUGCCUGUUCAUGGCGCCCUUCGAGGCCUACAGCGCGUGGGCCCUGGCCGUGGCGCUGUCCACCAGCGUGCUGGGCUUCCUGCUGCCCUUCCCGCUCAUGGUGCUCUUCAACGUGCUGACGGCCUGCCGCCUGCGCCGCGCCGGGCGGCCCGAGGGCCGGCGCCACUGCCUGCUGGUGUGCGCCUACCUGGGCGCCUUCGCCGCGUGCUGGCUGCCCUACCACGCCACGCUGCUGCUGCUCACGCUGCACGGCACGCACGUGUCCCUCCACUGCUACCUGGUGCACCUGCUCUACUUCUUCUAUGACAUCAUCGACUGCUUCGCCAUGCUCCACUGCGUGCUCAACCCCCUGCUCUACAACUUCCUGAGCCCCAGGUUCCGGGAGCAGCUGCUGAGCGCCGUGGUCCAUUACCUGCCCAAGGCCCGGGCCCGGGCCCGGGCGGACAGGCGCGCCUCCUCCUCCUCCUCCUCCUCCUCCACCCAGCACUCCAUCGUCAUCACCAAGGAGGGCACCCAGCCCACCGCAGCCGGCGCCCAGGCCCACCCGGGAGGCCCAAACUAGCCCCGCCCUCCCUAGGGUCUCCCAGGAGGCCCGGAGAGCCCGGCUCCCAGGGGGGUAGAGAGCUGGAGGCCGAGGCUGGGGGGACAAGGGAUCAGAGGCCGAGGAACGAGGAGGCGACGCAGGACAUUCCCUAGCAUCCUCAGUGACAUGGUAAACAGAGGGAGUGAAGCACAGGGCUGGGUCCCGCCCUCUGCCCCCACCCAGAUCCUCUCCCCUUCAUCCAUCCUGCUUCCCUCCCCACGAAGCAGAGGAGCCAGCCCACAGUCCACGCUCCUCACAGCCCACCUGCCCCUGCCUUCAGAUCUAGGACGUUUCCAGACUCCCAGGAAGAGAUGCUCUUGGAAAUGCACCAUCCCUCCCUUUCUUUCCAGAUCGUGGGCAAACAUCAAGGGACAUCCAUCUGAGAGCAGACCUUGGGACGGCCAGCAGCAGGCCCUGACACACGCUCUGUCCCUCAGCCCUUGUCCCUGCACGGGAUGGGGAAGUAGAAAUUUCUGAGCCAGUCACAGGGCAGAGCUCCAGUAUUCCAAGUCAUUCCUGACCCUUCAACUUCAUCCUCCCUGGCCAGGGUCUUUCCAUUAAUUUUCCCGUCCAGCCACUUACUUCUAGUCACACUUGUCCUAUAGAUAAGAAAAGAGGUCUUCAGGUUAACAAGUAGGUCUUCUGGAAAAUACUCAUUUAUCAGUUUGGGAACCUAAGAGCAUGUCCAGGAAGGAAAAACCUAUGAACAGGCCCCAGCCCACUAGUUCCAAGUCCUUGGCCUCCUAAUCCCACCUGUGGAGAAUGAAGGGUUUGUGAACGUAAGCACUGGGAGCCUCUGUCCUGAUCGUGCACGCGGUAUUUCUGGAAUGUUUCACUUGGAGUAACCACUCACUGAUCUGGGGCGCCGUCCCCUCUGUUCUUAGAAAUCUGAAACCGUAUUCAUCAGAUGCAUUAAACAUGUGCUCCGAUAGUGCAUGUGCCCGUUUGUCAGGAGCACAGUGGGAGAGACCCCGACAAUCUUGCUCAUUGUACCCCAAUCUGAAAGGGUCUCAAGCGAUACACAGCUGCUCUGUGGCACAGAGCCGAAGGCUUUUUCAACCAGGACAGUCCGGGGUGUGACUUGGGGUUGCAGUAAGGGCUAAACCCAGCAACACAGAAGAUGCACUACAGACAUUCCUCCUUUGUGCUCAUAUAAAAACCAAGCCAUAAUCGAAUGUCCUUACUACUCCCUCCACUGACUUUAGGCUCCAGAAGUUUCCUAAAGGGAAUCCAGUGUCACACGUGUCACAUCCAGGUUGCCUCAGAGGCCAGCCCCCCGGGGGCUCACUCUUCUGAUUUCUCUGGCAGUGGGUUACAACCCUAGGCCGCAUGAAUGCCUCCUUAGGGCCUUGGGAGGACAGAGGCCCAGCUCUGCUCACUACAGCAAGGCUGUUCCUCCGCUCAGCACUCACCGAGCACUGACAGGCACCAGCCUGGCCAGGGGCUGAGACCACAUGGCCCACGUCACACCCCAACUUCUGAGGUCUACCUCCUUCUCUGUGGAGUUACAUUUGUUGUCGACCUCGUGGCACUGGCAGGACCAUCUGAGGCCGGACCUCGAGUCCACCUAGAUAGGAGCAGAGUCCACUACUCUCUGUGCCAACCCAAGAUCCCCUCGGGGAGGCUUCCCCUGGAAAGGGUGGGUUAUUGACUUGAUUUGCCACUAAAAACAGGUCAACAGGUUAAACCUGGGGAAUUCCAGCUACAGGAAAGGAAACUGUGCUACCUGAAAGAAUCUUGGCAUCGGGGACGCCUGGUGGCUCAGUCGGUUAAGCGGUUGCCUUUGGCUCAGGUCAUGAUCCCAGGAUCCUGGGAUCAAGCCCUGAGUCCGGAUCCCCGUUCAGCAAGGAGUCUGCUUCUCCCUCUC